GUGCUCUCUCUCUCUUAGUACAUUAUUUGCUUGAAGCAUUGCUGUUAUGUAUCCUCGGCGAUCCAUGUGAUAGUGGGAAGUGAGGAAUUAUCAGAAGAAGGUGCUGUAAAAACACCCACACUCCUACCCAAGUUACACAAAACCAAAUAUUUUCUAAUAUAUAUUGACUUCUCGAGUGAUUAUACAUGUUUUGCUAACAUUAUCUAAUAUAUCAACAGCUAUUACAUGAACAUAUGUGUAUAGCCUGGC